UCAGGACGAACGCUGGCGGCGUGCUUAACACAUGCAAGUCGAACGAUGAACCACUUCGGUGGGGAUUAGUGGCGAACGGGUGAGUAACACGUGGGCAAUCUGCCCUUCACUCUGGGACAAGCCCUGGAAACGGGGUCUAAUACCGGAUAUGACCAUCUUGGGCAUCCUUGAUGGUGUAAAGCUCCGGCGGUGAAGGAUGAGCCCGCGGCCUAUCAGCUUGUUGGUGAGGUAAUGGCUCACCAAGGCGACGACGGGUAGCCGGCCUGAGAGGGCGACCGGCCACACUGGGACUGAGACACGGCCCAGACUCCUACGGGAGGCAGCAGUGGGGAAUAUUGCACAAUGGGCGAAAGCCUGAUGCAGCGACGCCGCGUGAGGGAUGACGGCCUUCGGGUUGUAAACCUCUUUCAGCAGGGAAGAAGCGAAAGUGACGGUACCUGCAGAAGAAGCGCCGGCUAACUACGUGCCAGCAGCCGCGGUAAUACGUAGGGCGCAAGCGUUGUCCGGAAUUAUUGGGCGUAAAGAGCUCGUAGGCGGCUUGUCACGUCGAUUGUGAAAGCCCGAGGCUUAACCUCGGGUCUGCAGUCGAUACGGGCUAGCUAGAGUGUGGUAGGGGAGAUCGGAAUUCCUGGUGUAGCGGUGAAAUGCGCAGAUAUCAGGAGGAACACCGGUGGCGAAGGCGGAUCUCUGGGCCAUUACUGAC
rnacentral:rRNA from 1 species